rfam:Myotis davidii contig229069, whole genome shotgun sequence.
GGCAGUUCUCAGGUGAUGCACCCCAGAAUUGGGCUCCCUCCUCUCUGGUUCCAGGUGUGUCACCCAAGAACUACA